AAUCAGGAGGUGAUGAGGCUGCAAAGA
rnacentral:piRNA from 1 species